GCCAGGCAUGGUGGUGCUUGCCUGUAAUCCCAGCAGCUUGGGAGGCUGAGGCAGGAGGAUCUUGAGUACAAAGUCAGCCUUGGCAACUUAGUGAGGCCCUAAGCAACUCAGAGAAACCCUAUCUCUA
rnacentral:sRNA from 1 species